rnacentral:lncRNA from 1 species
ACUUCUUUUAGUUUGUUGCCUGGACUUGGGAGUUGGGCCCAGAGCUGCAGGAAGAAAUGUUCAAUCAUAUACAACAUUGGAGCAAGUGAUAUGAUGCACCUCAUGUACCCAUCACCUAACUUCCAACAGUAUUUUGUCAGGGGAUAUUAUGAUCACUGCCAUGAAGACAAAUGCUUAGGAAAGGACUUAGAAGCCUUACAAAUACAUCUGUGCAUUCUUGCUUCAGACUUUACAACUGAGGGCCAGCCCAGUCUGGAAGCAUCUCUUAUUAAUGUUACAAGGAAACCGCUACCUCAGCAAACAAAAGGAAUGGAGGAGGAGACUUACAACAAACGCCAUUUAAAAAAAAAAGAAAAACUUGUUUUCAGGAAACAUUAGAGGAAAUUUGGAGAAUUUCAGCAUUGCAUAGAAGCAGCCUUACAGGUAAACGGAUUUGACGGGCAGGCUCUGUCAAAAUUCUGCAGAAGUUUGAUCUUCCUUCUUAAGGACUUUGUGUGAAGUAAUUCUUUACUGCUUUUAAAUUGCUGUUGAUCAGCUUCUGGGUUUUUGGGUUCUAACUUUUUUGGGUAUAUUGAAGACACAGU